UAUCUCUGUAGAGUCUGCAUAUCAAUAAGCGGAGGAAAAGAAACUAACAAGGAUUCCCUUAGUAACGGCGAGUGAAGCGGGAAGAGCUCAAAUUUGAAAUCUUCAAGGUUCUACCUUGACGAAUUGUAGUUUAAAGAAGUGUUUUCUGUUGAAGUUUCGGUAAAAGUUCUUUGGAAUAGGACAUCAUAGAGGGUGAGAAUCCCGUAUUUGACCAGUUCUUUCCAGCUGUGUGAUACACUUUCAAAGAGUCGGAUUGUUUGGGUAUGCAGUCCAAAAUGGGUGGUAAAUUUCAUCUAAAGCUAAAUAUUGGCGAGAGACCGAUAGCGAACAAGUACCGUGAGGGAAAGAUGAAAAGAACUUUGAAAAGAGAGUUAAACAGUACGUGAAAUUGUCAAAAGGGAAGCGUUUGACACCAGUGUUGUUUUCUCGAAAAUCAAUUAAAAAUGGCUUGAUUUUGUGUUGUAUUGACCUUAAAAGCUUUCUUCACUUUUUUCAUGUCUUUUUUAAUGCACUUUUCGUUUAACAAGUCAACAUCAGUUUCUUUUGUUGUAAAAAGGUCAUUGGAAGGUGGCUUUCUUUUCGGAGAAAGUGUUUAUAGCCUUUGACUCCUGCAAUCGGAGAGACUGAGGUCUGCAGCGUAGAUCCUUCUUGGAUUAGAUUCAUUUGUGCUAAGUUAUAGCUUUUCAUAGACAACUUGUUGACUAUGUUUAGUCUUGUAGCUUACUCGCUUAUGUAAUUUUACCUACGCUUAGGAUGUUGAUCUCUGCACAGUCGAGC
rnacentral:rRNA from 1 species